UGGGGAAUAUUGCACAAUGGGCGAAAGCCUGAUGCAGCGACCCCGCGUGAGGGAUGACGGCCUUCGGGUUGUAAACCUCUUUCAGCAGGGACGAAGCGCAAGUGACGGUACCUGCAGAAGAAGCACCGGCUAACUACGUGCCAGCAGCCGCGGUAAUACGUAGGGUGCAAGCGUUGUCCGGAAUUACUGGGCGUAAAGAGUUCGUAGGCGGUUUGUCGCGUCGUUUGUGAAAACCAGCAGCUCAACUGCUGGCUUGCAGGCGAUACGGGCAGACAUGAGUACUGCAGGGGAGACUGGAAUUCCUGGUGUAGCGGUGAAAUGCGCAGAUAUCAGGAGGAACACCGGUGGCGAAGGCGGGUCUCUGGGCAGUAACUGACGCUGAGGAACGAAAGCGUGGGUAGCGAACAGG
rnacentral:rRNA from 1 species